UACGUAGGUGGCAAGCGUUGUCCGGAAUUAUUGGGCGUAAAGCGCGCGCAGGCGGUCCUUUAAGUCUGUUGUGAAAUCCCCGGGCUCAACCUGGGAAUGGCAAUGGAUACUGGCUGGCUAGAGUGUGUCAGAGGAUGGUGGAAUUCCCGAAGUAGAGGUGAAAUUCGUAGAUAUCGGGAGGAACACCGGUGGCGAAGGCGACCAUCUGGACGGAUACUGACGCUGAGACGCGAAAGCGUGGGUAGCAAACAGG
rnacentral:rRNA from 1 species